GGGAAUUUAUCGAUCCUGGCCCGCUUUCAUUCUUUCUGAGAAAAUUUGUAUCUUGCUAGUGAUGUCUUGAAUCAUUUUAGAUCUUUUAAAGAUCUUCCGUCUUACGUCACGCCAAUAUAUUUGAGUAUGACAUUUAUGCUCAUAUAGUACUUUAUAUACCUUCAAUAUAUUUUCUACUAUUUGGAUUGCUCGCUUUUUUGAUCAUNUUUGUCUGAGGAUGAUAAGUUGUAUUAAGAGCAACUCGAGAUCCUAAUUCAUGCUUCAUUCUCACCCAAAAGUGAGGAGUGAAACGAGUAUCACAGUCGGAAAUAAUCUAUAGUGGCGCACCAUGACUUGCCGCAAUUUCGUCUAAGUAACUUACGUGUAUUUCUCCAAUGGAGUUGUUUUACGUGUGGCGAGAAUAUAUGCACUCUUCAUCAGCCGGUCGAUAAUUAUUCAAACGUUAUCAUUCACAGUUUUCUUCUCCUCUUUCAAGGUAUUAACUGUAUAAGUCGGAUAAGUAGAAUAUCCCUUAGACAUAAUUUACGAGUUUCUAAGAAAGAAAUUUAUUAUUUUCACCGUAGACAUAAAUAGAAUCUUCCCUUCUGAUAGGGAUGCAUAUCAUCUCCUUCUAGAACAAGAGCUUUGCGUGGUUCUUUAAUAACCAUUCCAUAUCAUAGAUAGGAAUUAGGUUAGCAGGAAGAUUAUAACUUUCAAUUCCUAUAACACUAACUCUAUAGGCUUUAUCAGCAAGUAACGAUAUAUUUCCUACGUUAUCUAUAUGAAAUGUUUGGACAACUGCGUAAUAAGCAAUUUGAAAAGAAUAUGUGAUUUUAUAAGGCACGAAAGAAUCUGAGGCAUUAAAAUCAAAUAAGAUGUGAGUAGAUCUAGAGUUUACGAGAAAAUUACAAGUCACAACAUUCGAGUUUUUAACUUACUUCCUUUGUGGUAAUCUAAAAUGUACGAUAUUUAGCAUUUAGUUUGCCAAACGAUUGUCAAAUUCUUCAAACUUCCUAAUUACUGGCGGUGUUCAAAUUUGUACCCGCUCUUCAUUCUCUAUUGAACAUUCGAUCAUAAUCUUUGAGUUAAAACUCAAUUCUCAUUGCAGAUUCCUACUCCUUCUUGGUUUAUAAACUAAACCCAAGAUAAGGUCUUUACUUUUUCUAUAACGACAACUCGAAUGGUCAUAUUCUAAUGACCUUUGAUUUUAUCUCGCACAAGACACAUAAUGAUCCAAACUCUUGUAUUAGAAUCAGAUCGAAUAAAUCGAGCUGAUAGAAUAAUGAAAACAAAAAAAGAGUUUGAUCAAUACAUAGAUGCUUUGGAACAGAAAGAAUAGCACCACGUAUCUCUAAUUCGUGCUUUCAUACCUACAUAUCUUUUAGCUUUUGGCACCUCCUCCUUUUUAGUUGGAGUACUCUUUGAUUGUUGAACAACAACUUGACUCCCCGCCAUUUGAUUAGCAAGUGUAGGGCGGAUACAUUUCUUGUAGCCAGUAACACCACAUAGCAAGUCACAUCUCUGGUUAAUGAUUGCUCAAUUCUUUAAUGAAGAUUAUUAUAUUUCUAUUGACUAUCUCGACCAUUUACUUCUUCAGCAUUCUUACUGAUGUUUUGUCACUAUAUAAGACAUGGUUCUCUGAACCAAUUAACUCCUUUCGCGGAUUUGUACUAAUCGGACUCGAUUCUUUAUUACGAUUUGAACGAUAAUUAUCUUCUUAGUCAUUACCGAAACGAAGGUAACGACACACAUGAAUAAAACGAAAUCAUUUACUAGCUUCUUGGUAACCUUGUGACUUUUCCUGAUCCAAGCGUGAGUCCUGUGCUUCCAGUAGUAUAUGCCUCUACUACUAUUCACACCUACUCAUACUCUUCCCAAGUAUUGUCUCGCAGUUCCCAAGUCACCAUUCAAAAGUUUUCACAAAGCAACUUAUCACACAUGAACGUGUUCAAACAAAUACGUACAACAGUUUCUCCUAGACUCAACUAGGGUUUUCAUGUUUCUAUCAAACAUAUAUUGGAUUACUUAUACUCGCCUUCUAGGAUUUUUCUCAUGCAUAUGCUCGAUUUAAUAUAUCCUAAUACUUUUCCAUAGGUAGAUAGAAAUUUACUUCCAUUUCUUCAUAUUAAUUCUUUCUUGAGUAGUGUCUACUCUACAAGACACAUUAUUCCAAAAUUUACUUUAGCAGCAUGGAGAUAAACGGUCUUCUACUACCUGCAUCAUCUUCUAACUCAUGCAAUCCAUCAUGCACUUUUUUUUCAUUUCAUUAUUCUUCCUUGACAUCGUUUUUCUUGUAUCUGAGUAAGUCUAAGUCUAUUUCAUAGGAGUCUAUCUUAAGAAGUCUGCAUCUUAGCUGCAUCUCAACAAGCUUUACUAGCUUCAACUUGGUUCUCUGUCAUUCCCGACUACAACAUCUCUUCAUACGAUACUAUGGGUGUAUUUCUUCUUCAAUUAAGCAUUCUACCUUACUUAAACAAGUAAGUUGCUUAACCAUUUACCACUAAAUGACUCAAUUCACCAUCCCAAUCUUUUAUGUUAAAGUUGGCUUAACACACAAUGGAACUUUAUAUCACAAAGUCUUGGCCUAUUGAGUCUGAAAACUUCAUUAGCCUUUCUUUUGAUCUUUAUUUAAUUCUUCUAAUCUUGUACCACAUCAGUUGAGAUACUAUCGAAGUAUUUAUCACCAUCUUCGGUUCUUUCGACUUUCUAAACAAUCAUUGCUUCAAUCUGAACAACGAUAGAACAACUUCGUGGAUUUUUACCAACACAUUUAUCUUGUCCAAACGUGUUUCAAACGCACAUCUUUCUUCCAAAAAUGUUAUUAUAUAUCAAACAUACUUUAAAUUUAUAUUACCGCUCUAUUGGUAAUUAUACACUUAUUACGAUAACAAUUCAUAUUUAUUAGUUUACGAUAUCUCGCAAUCGUUUAUUUAUAAACUUAUCAAUGUCAACUAUCAUAAGUCUCUUUAUCACUCCGAAAAAUCCUUUUAUGAAAAUUCUUAAAAUUUUCUAAACCAUGGUCGGCAACAGACCUUAAGCUUUCUCACAUAAUAGAAUAUAAGGCACAUCUCCUUUAUAUAUUCAUUUAUCAUUUAGCACAUAAUAGAAUAUAAGGCAUAUCUCCUCUUUAUAUUCAUUUAUCAUUUAACACAUAAUAGAAUAUAAGGCACAUCUCCUUUAUAUAUUCAUUUAUCAUUUAGCACAUAAUAGAAUAUAAGGCAUAUCUCCUCUUAAUAUUCUAGUGCUUGCCUCCAUUAGGUAUUCAACCUAAAAUAUAUCGUAUCAUCUUUACUUAAUAAUUCUUGUUUAAGUUUAGAAAUUCUUAAAAUUUCUAGUUCACUUAAACUAAUUUUCUUAAAAUUAUGAUGUAACUUAAUAUCUUAUAGUACUAGGGUUUAUCACUACCCGAUCCCCCACUUAAAUAUUUCCUAUUAUUUGUAUCCAUAUGCUUAUUAUGAAUCAGCUCAUAUAUUGAGCUUCCAACAGUUUAAGUCUAAAUAUCAAUCCGUGAUAUUUAGUUCACUUAAACCAUUGCUCUAAUACCAUGAGUGAAAGACCCCAACUUUCGUAUUUAUGAAAGACUCAAACUUUCAUACUAUUUCAAAAGAUUUCUUAAGUUACUUACUCAAAACAUGCUACAUGCAUAUUUAUAAAAAAAUAUUUUAUAUUGAUAAAGUGAUUACAAAGGAUUGGAUACAAACCGACUAAGUUUUAAUACAAUUUCAUGUCUACCCAAGAAUCUACUAGUCAUAUACAUACAUGAAAAUUAAAAUUACAGAGAAAUACUAUUAACUAUUCUAAAUCAUUCAGUAGUAUAAAGCUAUAUUGGAAUACUCAUCACCUGCAAUUGUUAAAUAUUAAGAGGAAUAAGCGAUAACGCAUAGUGAAUUCAAUAGAUAGAUACAAUAUAAUCUUAUGCUUUACAUAUACCAAUAUGAUAGAAGCAGAGGGGAACAAGAAGACAUAUGUGAAAUCAUGUGACAAGCGUUCAUAUCAAUCAAAGACUUUAUUCAAAGAUAUACUUUUCAAUGAGACCUAACGAUUUCAAUACUUGAUAUGUAUCAAUAAAGCUUUGGCCCAAUUGGCACAGAAGACAUAUAAUUUAUGAUUAACAUUUUGGUAGAUUUCAGGCUGAUAGCCCUGUCUAACCAUUUGCCAAUACCAUAGAAUAGAGUUCAUUCUCUUACGGAGUCAUGCUCUACAUGGUUAGAGGCUACAUACCAUUCCUAUCAAACCUUAUGCCAAUACCAAUGUGAAUCUAAGUCCUUUCACUGAUCACAUGGUCAAAGGUAUUAUAAUUGCUAUAAACAUAGCGAAUAAAAUAACACGGGAGAAUAACUCAGAAUAAUAACACUGAGAAGCACAUAGCACAUAUAACACAUAACAUACAAUUGUUCCUAUAUAUUGAUCUCACCUUAAGUUAACCGAGGGUUAAAAUAGUAAUUUGGACAACAUUUCAGCUUUAAAUAUGACUUUCUAUGUUGAAAACCGGGAGCUUAAUUGAAAACCGGGCUCUGCGAAGGUAGGGCUUCAAAACCGAAAAGAUAAAAUUUCCGGGCUUCUCGGGGGUCUCUGGAUGUGUUUCGGGUGCUAAAAUUGAUACCGGGGCUUCGGAAAAAGUCAAAACAGUGAAAAUAUGGAAAAAGGGGCCAAAAAUGGAAAUUUUCCAAUUCUAGCCGGGAGGGUUCGCACCCUCCUAUUUAUAGGGGCGAGGUUCGGAUCUUGUGGUUGAGAAGCGAGCACGUGGCUGCUGGAGCGAAGGCCACGAAGCGAGAGGAGGGGGGAAGACAUUGCACCUGCGAGCUUCAGACCAAUCAGGCGAGGCCACGUCUCGGUAACGCGUGUUAAGCGAAGCUUGGACGUGGCACUGGGUGCGAAGCGGGUAGGCGAGACGUGUCUCGCGUCGGACUGGCCACCGAUGCGAGACGUGUCCCCUUCCUACUGGACCUCGGCCUCGGCGAAUCUGCUUGCGACAUUUGCUGAGUUCGGAUUUGGCCACGUCUCUGGUGAUGCUACUGCUUCGUGCGAAUGUGACGUGGCCGGUACUGUUCAUGCGAGUUUUCUUGGUUUUCUGGCCACGAACUUCUAAAAUCCAUAACUUUCGCAUACAAGCUCCGUUUUUAACGUUCUUUAUAUGCACACGUAGCUAAAAUUACGCUCUACAUUUUCGUUUAGGCUUCGUCGGCUAAUUUUGACUUUAAUUUUAAUAUUAUUAUUUUUAACAGAUCGGGACAGGAAAAUCCGUUAAAAAUUCAUAACUUCUUCAUCCGACAUCCGUUUUCGUCAGACUUUUUACCGUUGUACUACAUAUAACGAGACCUUCGAUUCUUGUUUAGGAUGUAUCGGUAAAAUAUCGCUCGAUCUAAAAUUCGAGUUUUAGCUGUCUACUGCUAAGUUGAAACUUCGAAAAAUCAUAACUUCCUCAUACAAAGUCAGAUUUUGGCAUUCUUUUUAUCGAAUUUCUCGAUUUAACAAAUACUACGACUUUGAUUUAGAUUUCUAAGGCUAAAAAGUACUUUAUAAAAAACUCACUUUUUACGUCAUUCGGCACCAUACCGGUUUUGUCGCGGAUCUUCGGUUGGUCAUAACUUCUUCGUUAUAACUCGGAUUUCGACGAGUUUUUCGCCUACAAGUUUCUAAUGAGAUAAUUUACAACAUCAAAUAAUAAAAUUUUACUUAUUUAAAAUUUUAUUUUUUCGCUAAAUUUCACUAUUUGGCUAUUAAUUGGAAUCUCAUAAGACUUCUAAUAUUUUAUGAGUGAUUCUAAACAUAGUUUUACUUCAUUUCUAGUAAAAAGUAGCUGUUAGAACUCAACACUCAAUUUUAUUCACUUUUAAUAAUAACAAUACACAAUUUCAGAACGUGUAUGUUACAACAAGUUUCCCAAAAUCCUAACUCACACAACCACUUGAGUUGUCUACCUCUCUAAUGUGAAUGCAAACUCAUCCUGAAUCCAUGCUCCCUUUUGCUCCUGAGCUCUAGGAUGACUCUCCCCCACUUCGAUUCAACUAGAUCCUUAUAGUUCACUACUUGGAUAGGAUUCCCAAUCCUCCCAACCAUCCGAUAACCAACCAGCUGAUAACCCAAAGCUUACAGCUGCUAAUGAUCCAGAACUCACUAAUAUCAAUUCUUGACCCACUUUUGAAGAUUAAUAGGAUACUUCUAGAGCCCCAAUCAUGCACUUCCUACAGUGACUGCAUCCUAAGAACAUACCCCAAAGGGAACAUCUUCGAACUACUACUCUAACUUUCCAGGGUAUGCAGAUGGCAUUUAAUCCGAACAUAAACAGGAAUAAUUCAUAUAAAAAUACUCAUCAAAAUGUAGUACCAUAACAAUAUAAUCAUGAAUAAAAAUUAAUCAGGAGAGUAAAAGAUACGCACCUACCACAUCCGGUGCUGCUCGCGGCUCCACUGUAGAUAACUGAAAAAUCCUGCCUCCUACCGCAGGCGCCUCUGCUCGACCCUGUCGGCCGUCUAUAAUCCUCAGACACUGGGCCUUCUUGUGGCCCCAUUAACUGCUAUGAAAACAUAUUAGGUCUGAUCCCUGGGUGGUUGUCGCAAUAUAAUCUCUGCUAAAAUGACCAGUUCGGCCGCACUUGAAGCAGCCAGAAUCACCACCACUACCACUCCUGCACGCACCCUCAUGCGUCCUGCCACACCUGCCACAACGACUGUAGCCUCGAACAUCCCUCGAUCUCCCAUCUGGCCCCAUGGGCCUCUUGCCGGAACCUGUGGCUACCUGACCCUCAUCUGGCUUUCUCUUCCUCUCUGUCUCUAAAUCAAUCUUCCUUUCUCUGGCUCGAGUAAUCAUACCUUCCAACAUCUUGCAGCUGGACCUGCUCAUAAACUGUCUGAUGUCACUCCUCGGCAUCUCGUGAUAUCGAUCUUUCUUUACCUCCUCUUCCGCCACAAACCGUGGGACCAGAAGAGAUCUCUCCCUGAACUUUGCGGUGAUCUCCGCCACAGUCUCAGUCGUCUGUUGAAGGUCCUGAAAUUCCCGUGCCAACUUCUACACCUCAAUAACUGGUACAAACUCAGCCCUGAACCUGGCCGAUAAAUCACUCCAUGUCAUCGCGUCCAACGCGGCAUCAUCCCCUAUAACAUGACCAACCUCCUCACACCAAUUCCGCGCUUUGUCCUUCAGAAGGCCGGAGGCGAGUCUGACCUUGUCCCCGGGACACCGAAUCGUACGGAAAGUAUUGGCAAUAUCGGCCAACCACCUGCUGCUAGCAAUGGGAUCCCUAUCCCCAUGAUAAUAUGGUUCUCCACAAGCUCUGAACUCUCGAAAAGUCAAGGUACGCGCCCCUACCAAAGCCAUCAUCUCAGUGCGGAAAGCUCCUAGUUUCUCAUCCAAAAGUUCCAAAAUACCCUCCUUGACCGAACCGAAGAUCACAGGAGUUUGAUCUAGAAUAAUGUGUAACCUCAACUGAAACAAACUCCCUCAUCCGUUCCUCGAGUUGCUCGACUCCUAAACCCGAGCCUGAUCCCUCUCCGACGCAUGAUCCGCCGACUAGUCUCUCACGCAAUGUCACCAUACUGAAAACUUAUCGCAAUAACCAUCAAAAUACUCAUCACUGCUGAGGGAUCCUCUGCUUUCAGUAGUACGGGCCCAUACUACCUUCCACAUCUAUCCGUACUUUCCUCAAGAACUGCCUCGACUCCACCAAGUCACUACUACUGCUACCGAUCUCUGCUACUCUCAUCCUAGGCUUACCUUAGGGAAAUCUCCGACCCAAACCAGUCCUCAGCUGCUGAAGGCCUCCUUGUAAUGCCAAUUCGCCAUCACCUGAAUACCAUCACAUGUGACGAGGCUCAGAUAAUCCUUCGAGUAAAAGACUCGUCCCCACAAUGAUUAGACUCAAACGAGAGUUGCGCAAUGGGGCCAAAUCCAGCACUCUGAGAUUAUUCAACCCUGAUCACAUGUGACGUGAUGUAUUCACCUAAUGGCUAAUCCCAUCACUCAGAGUCCCACAAAGCACAAAGCAAGCAACAUUUGGACACAGUAACUACUCAAGAAAAUCUAUUCUUAUAACGAAAAACUGUACUAGCACACAAUGCUAAGCUCAUACUAUCAGGAAUAACCUAAAAAGGCUAUCCUACUACUAUCUACUCAAUACUAUCAUGCAAUUCUCAUAAAGCUGAAACACAUAUAGCAAGAACAUAAGGCAUCAUUCCUAGAUCCUUAGUCCUAUUCUAGCACGCGGUUCUACUGAAACUGAAACUAAUAAUCAUGACAUAAACUUGUAUGAGUAAUUUGGGAGUACUUACUUGAGCUCGGAUGAUUGCAUGCACCACACCCUUUUUCUAUUUUCAAAGUUCUUUUCUUUCUAAAUUUCUUUUCGCUUUUUUUUUGAAAACUCUUUUCAUUCCUCAAAACUCCUUUUAUAAAAAAUGAUUUCCCUUUUGAAAAUUUCCAUACCAAUUCCUUAGUUUGAGUUCAGACACACCCAAAAGUAUAUUCAAAUUCCUCAAACCAAGGCUCUGAUACCAACUUCUAACGACCCAAAAAUACAUUCUAAAAAUUUUCUUUUAAAACAUUACUUAAAACAUAAUUGUCAAACCAUAAAUAAAAUCAUAACAUAAAUCAGAGUGUUGAUUCCAAAACAUAUUUUCAUUAUCAGAGUAAAACAUCCCGGGCUGACUAAUCAAUGGUGUGUGCCAUGCGAUCACCCCGAGCUCUUCCCUCCGCUACAGGAAGUACUUGAAACCAAAAUUGAAAAUCGUAAGCACGAAGCUUAGUGAGUUUCCCCCAACCUACACAUACGACAUAAAACUGGAUAAUGCAAAUACUCGGCCUCGCCCUCUACCUCGGGCCUCGCCUGCUACAACAGGCUCUGCCUGCCCCAGGCCCCACCUGGCUUUGAGCCUUGCUCGGUGUACAUAUCUAUUUCUCUUAGGCUCCGCCUGUCUCUGGCCCCCGCCCGCUAACAUAUACUAACACAUAAACAUACUACAACACAUAAACUAAACAUAAACUACUAAAUCCUGUUCUAAGGCCUCUCCUAUCUUGGGCCUCUCCCUUGUCCUACUACUGAUGAGUGAUGAAACUCUUGGGUUUUGAGCAUUCAACACUCCUAAGUGUACAUGCAACCCUAAAUACCUUGGAUCUAUGUUUUCUCUAUUAUACAUGCAAAUAAGAACAUCCAAGGUAUUAUCCUAAUCUAGCAUACAAAACAAUGAGUGUAACAAGAUAGAAUACAUACCUCUUUGAUGUAGAAAGUCUUCAUGAAGCUUGAGUGCCUAGCCCCAAUAGUGUGGAAGCCUCAAAUGGAAUCACAAUCAUCAAAACACUUAGAAUAACUUGAGAGAGUUCUACACUUCAUGAAAUCGGCUAGCCCUCUUCUUCACUUUCUAAUUUGAUUCUAGUGGCCGAUUUUUGUCAAGAAUAAGAUCUUUAUAUAGUUUUACAAUUACGGUAAUUCCUUAAUUGUCAUGGCUUUCCAUUUCCUUGGAUCCAUGGGUUCAAAUACACCAUGGAGCAUCCAUGGACCAUCCUAUGGGUUUUAGCCCAACUUGAUUAUCCAUGGAGCAUUAGCCCACUAUACAAGUAUGGAUGAUUUACACAAUCAACCCAUAUAUUUAAUUAGUCUUCUUUUGAUCACUU
rnacentral:lncRNA from 1 species